rnacentral:rRNA from 1 species
UACGUAGGGUGCGAGCGUUAAUCGGAAUUACUGGGCGUAAAGCGUGCGCAGGCGGUUCGUUGUGUCUGAUGUGAAAGCCCCGGGCUCAACCUGGGAAUGGCAUUGGAAACUGGCGAGCUAGAGUGUGGCAGAGGGGGGUGGAAUUCCGCGUGUAGCAGUGAAAUGCGUAGAUAUGCGGAGGAACACCGAUGGCGAAGGCAGUCCCCUGGGCCUGCACUGACACUCAAGCACGAAAGCGUGGGGAGCAAACAGG